GAGUUUGAUCGUGGCUCAGGAUGAACGCUGGCGGCGUGCCUAACACAUGCAAGUCGAACGGAUCCAUAUUGAAACCUAGUGAUGUAUGGAUUAGUGGCGGACGGGUGAGUAACGCGUGGAUAACCUGCCGUAUACAGGGGAGUAACACUUAGAAAUAAGGUGCUAAUACCGCAUAAGCGCACGGUUCCGCAUGGAACAGUGUGAAAAACUACCGGUGGUAUACGAUGGAUCCGCGUCUGAUUAGCCAGUUGGCGGGGUAACGGGCCCACCCAAAGACGACGAUCAGUAGCCGGCCUGAGAGGGUGAACGGCCACAUUGGGACGUGA
rnacentral:rRNA from 1 species